UACGAAGGGGGCGAGCGUUGUUCGGAUUUACUGGGCGUAAAGGGCGCGCAGGCGGCUCAUUUUGUCAGGCGUGAAAGCCCCGGGCUUAACCUGGGAACUGCGUUUGUGACUGUAUGACUAGAGUACGGUAGAGAGGGGUGGAAUUCCUGGUGUAGCAGUGAAAUGCGUAGAUAUCAGGAGGAACAUCGAUGGCGAAGGCAGCCCCUUGGACCUGUACUGACGCUCAUGCACGAAAGCGUGGGGAGCAAACAGG
rnacentral:rRNA from 1 species